rnacentral:rRNA from 1 species
UUGGCCAAGCCUGGGCAAGCCUGAUCCAGCCAUGCCGCGUGCAGGAUGACGGUCCUAUGGAUUGUAAACUGCUUUUAUACAGGAAGAAACACUUCCUCGUGAGGGAGCUUGACGGUACUGUAAGAAUAAGGAUCGGCUAACUCCGUGCCAGCAGCCGCGGUAAUACGGAACAG